CCAUUACGAAAUCAUUGUAUCGUCAUCAGCGUAGUGCCACGGUUGUGCUCUCGUAAAAAGCCCAAACUGAAGCCCACAAAAGCCAGCUUUUUGUUCCAUAACAGUGCAGUUCCAGACAUCUUUAACAUUCACAUUCAUACAAUCACACACGCGCAAACGAAGAAGAAAGUGGCGUUCCGUUUGAUUCGACGGUGGAGUGAAAGAGAAAAGGCAAAAAAUUGAUUUUUCGCGUGGAUUUUUUUCUGUCGCUUGUGGAGUUACUAGCGCAUUUAAUCACACAAUUUGAUUGACCAGUGAACUGUGGCAAGUUUUACGGGACAAAAGUGCUAACUUGUUUUUGUUAUCGGUGACAUUUGCGGUCAAAUUUUUUCAUCGGACGACACGCGUCAAGUGUUCGACAGCCAGAAAUCGCAGUUUUGAAAAGUGCGACAAAGUGAGAUAAAAGCGUGUGCGACAAAUUAGAAGCGCGCCACUCGCAGUCAACUAUUUUCUGAAAGCCAGGUAAAAAAGAACAGCCUCAAAAUUACUACUUCAAUCAUGACGAACAAAGUGCUAGCGGCCGUACAAGAUUUACAAAAACAAAAUGGCGACUCGCAGAAUGCGACGGCGGCGGCUGCUGGCACGGAUAAUAGCCGUACCAAUCUUAUUGUGAAUUAUCUGCCUCAAACGAUGACUGAGGAAGAGAUCCGUUCGCUCUUCUCCAGUGUUGGUGAGGUAGAAAGCGUCAAGCUGGUACGAGACAAGAAUGUCAUCUACCCGGGUCAGCCGAAAGGUCAGAGCUUGGGCUACGGCUUCGUAAACUUCCAUCGUGCACAGGAUGCCGACCAGGCAGUAAGUGUGUUGAACGGGUUGCGACUGCAGAACAAGGUGCUGAAGGUGUCGUUCGCCCGUCCCAGUUCGGAGGGGAUCAAGGGAGCUAACCUUUAUAUUUCUGGUCUGCCGAAAACGAUCACGCAAGAAGAGUUGGAGGUUAUUUUUAGACCAUACGGUGAGAUUAUUACAAGCCGAGUUUUGGUGCAAGAUGGAAACGAUAAACCGAAGGGUGUCGGUUUCAUUCGCUACGAUCAACGUAAGGAGGCGGAACGGGCAAUUGCUGGUUUGAAUGGAACUACGCCGAAGGGGUUGACCGAUCCUAUUACGGUUAAGUUCUCCAAUACGCCAGGACAGAAUACGGCGACUAAGAUUGUGCAACCAGCUUUACCGACCUUCUUGAACCCCCAAUUGACUCGUCGGUUGGGUGCUAUUCAUCAUCCAAUUAACAAGGGUUUGGCUCGUUUUUCACCGAUGGGAGGAGAGGUUUUGGAUAUGAUGUUACCCACCGCACCGGCUAAUGGUAUUGGUGCCGUCGCUCCGUCCGGUGGAUGGAGCAUUUUCAUCUAUAAUCUCGCACCGGAAACGGAGGAAAAUACUUUGUGGCAACUGUUUGGACCCUUCGGAGCCGUACAGAAUGUGAAGAUCAUCAAGGAUUCCGCCACCAACCAGUGCAAAGGAUACGGAUUCGUCACCAUGACCAACUACGAGGAGGCGAUGCUGGCGAUCCGGUCACUGAACGGAUAUACACUUGGCCAACGGGUGUUACAAGUCAGCUUCAAAACCAACAAGUCAAACUUCGGUGAACACUAAAACAAAAAAUACUUGAUGUUAGGAGUUGCAGGUUUAUCAAACUCAUACGGGACGCCGCCACCCCCACCAGCCGACCGAUGAUCGAUAAACCACCCCCGUCGUCAUCAGUAACACGAUGGUGCAAUGCUUUCUUCACGCAUACACAAAAACCAGACUACUACGACAAAUUAAACAUUCAACCGAACGACGAGGGUGCGAUUUCCAUGCCGGCAAGUGAGAGGGUGCGUUCCGCUGAGUUUGGUAUUCUUUCAACAUUUCAUUCAACGACAGAGAGACGGGGGUGCGCAUGCGGAAAAUAUCAAAGCCAGCCGUGAAAAUCAAAACCCCUCCACGGCUGAUGCUGUUCAGCCUAAACUAGAGAGACAGUAAAGACUCUGCAAAAUCCGCAGCAAACGAACAGCGAAGCGAAACGAAACGAAAGGCAGAGAAAGAGGGAGAGCUGAAAACAAGAUGUUUAUUAGAAGGAAUUCAGAGUGAUGUGUGCAAUAGGAUGUGACUAUAUAUAUUUUCUUUCUACCCUUUUCUCACCUUAAUCUACCCAUUCUUGUUCUUGCUUUGCUUAGAUUUUAAAAUAAAAUGAGAUACUAUACACUUGGAGCGAAACGGACAGAGAGGACACUAUUUAUUUUAACCGAUUUUCAUACUUAUUUAAAAAAACUUAGUUUGGAUAGAAGAUCGUUAGUAAUUUAAGUAUAUUUUCGUAACUCUUUAGUGUAUUCAUCAAUGAUUUUCUGCAUAAACUGGCAGUUUGAUGCUCCCCAAUUUAAACAUUUUACAGUUUGCAACAAAUCGAAGCGUACUCUGUUUGUUUGAGUAUAAUUGCAAUAACGAGCAAAGAUUAUCAUUGCAGUUCCUUACUACUAAUCCGGUAAAUCAAAACAAAAACACAAAAUCGAAAAAGAAUCCAGCACAGUGUUUAAUGUGAGCAUAACAUUUGGUAACAAAAAAGUACAAAGAUGCUUGAGUGAAACAAGUGAAGUUAGCAUUCCUUCAUGUUUUAAAAACGGAAAUUAGUUGAUAAACAUACUGCUGGAUUCUUGGUCAUUCAAAAAUAGAAAAAUAAAAACAAACUGAAACUCAAACAAAAAGCAAAAGAAACUACAAAAUGAAAUAGCAUACAAGUGUUCAUCUUAUCAACAAACAAACAAACAAAAAAACAGCUUGUUUUCCGUUUAAGGAUUCAGUUUUGCAUUACAGCACCAGACAGAUACCACCUUUAGGAGGAUAUUGAGCGACUCUCAAACCACUUCGAAUAUUAGUAAUGAUGCGAACAUGAAUAGUAAAAGAAAGUCAUAAGCAUUUGUCACGUCGUCUAGUUUGAUUUAGUAUCUUCUUAUCUCACCUUGCGUUAUUUUUUUUCAACAAACUUCAAGAAUCAAUUUCAAACCUGUCACAAAAUGAAACCCGAAAAAAAUGCAAACUAGAUCGAUAGAAGCAUCAAUUAUGCUUUGAUUUGUCAUUAUUUGUAUUCGAAUUAAUCAGCGUAUGAUUUUAUUUUCCUGAAUAUGUUCUUAUGUGUAUAUAUAAAAAUUAUAAAAGCAAAACAUUAAAAUAGUAAAAAAUAUGGAAUACAAUAAAAAUUAUAAUUUACGUCUGUUUUCAUUUCCUUUUAUUUCUUCCGUUAUUCCGUUAUUGGUUCUCACCAAAAACAACAGCAAACAACAACCAGAAAAAAAGCAAACCGAGAUUUCAAUUUGGCGCGUGUGCUUUGUUUACUUCAUUUCGGUUAUUUAAUUUUUCUGUAUGUUGCGUCCUUUUACACAAAGCAAUCUCUAUAUAUGUUUUGUUGUGCGUCUCUGUUGGGUUUAUUAAACGUUUUUGUCACCUAUCCGGACAUCGUACCGUCCCACAUCCAUAUCUCACCAAACGAAUCCGAGUUUUUACUGUUUUUUGACCAAUACUCGCGCGCACAUACACACACACAGACACACCGCUACCAACCACAUCCCGACACGCGCUACAGCUGAAGAACACACGCUUUCCCCCAGAGGUCGAAACGUCGGUAGUGUCUUUUUGCCUACCGGUACACCGGUAAAAAAGUAAGACUUUCUUUUCAUAUUUUUGAGUUUUGAUGACAAAAACAUCCGGCAAGGAGAGGCUCACGAACAGAGAGAAAAAAAUCCGACUCGACUGUACGAUUCUUUGUUUUGGUAUGGGUUUUAUCCGGCUUCCGUUAUUCUUCUUGAGUAUUACAUACUUGGAGUUUUGCCACAUCACUUACAUAGGAACCAGUUUUCUGUUCUGUCAGUUUUUACGUUUCCGGAAUUUGUGUGCGUGUGUGUGCGUGUAUCGCAAGUUUUUUUUUUCAGUUCGGGAAAAGUCACGUUGAAAAGCCUACCAAUCAGAUUACACAUCGUUUCGUAAAGCGUAUUGUUUUGAGCCAAGAGACAAUAAUUUCGUUUGAUUAUUAUUAUUCUCUUUAUGUGGGUAAGUAAUGAAUUCGAUUUUCUUUCUUAUUACCAUUUCUAUUUCUUACGUUGUCUAUUUACUGUAUAACUAUGAAUUUAUAUCUUGUUAUUAUACGUUGUUUUUUAUUCAAUCAAAAUUCGCGUAUUCGACGUAGCAACACGGCAUAGUAGGCUGCGAAUCAAAUAUGCAAAUUUGAACACUAUUGUUCUCCGGUUACUUUCGGGUAUCGCUGGACCGGCAAAUCAUAUUAAAAUCAUGCAAGGUUGCGUGAGACACUCGAAAGAAAGAAAUAAUGUUUCCGUUAUUGUCACAUUUCCUUGUGUUGAAUUUGCUAAUUGCUAGAGUCAGUACUACACAAACACUACGGCAGCCUACUUAGGUCCUAGCCUAGUGCGCAACUAGCGCUGACUCCAGCCAUUGGACUGAUCACAUUAUUGUAUAUAAUGAAAAAAUUUCAUUUCAAUUAUAUUUUAAAAUUAUUUUUAAAUUCUACAGCAACGAAUUAUAGGUGUGUUUUUAAACGCAAACAUUUUGUAUUUUGUUUAGCAUGCUGUUUGUGAGUAGUUUUAUCACGCUGUCGAAAUUGAAAUAAAUUAAGUUGACAGUUUUGUUUUUGUUUUCACUUCAAAACCGUUCACAACUACAACAAACCAUUUUUUCAUAAUGUAUUUGUUGGCUCUUCAUUGCUUUCACUUAUUGUUGUCUAUUAUAUUUAUCAGCUAAACGUAUAAUAUAUUGUUAAUUUUUAUCGUUUAAUUUUCACAAACUUAUAAUAAAUCAUGAAAGAGCAUUUUUUAAUUUAUUUCCAGCAAUAGAUCUCAGCUGCAAAAGCAAGUAUUUGUUUAUCACUUCAAUUUUCCAGGUACAUUUCACAUGUUUAUUAUUGGUUUGUUGUUCCAUAAUUGCCGCAGCAGAACAGUAUAAGUUUGUUGUCUUGAUUUUUUCGUCAUAUGUUCAAAACCUGUAGUAAUUACAAAUAAAAGUCAGUUCGAAAAGAACUAUUACUUUCAAGAAGCACGAAAUGACGAAAAAGUUUGAGCAAAUAUUUCCCCUUUCUUGUGAUAAGGGAAAAAAAAGUCAGAGCAGGCUGUGAGUUUCUAGAACAAAGUUCUAGUUCAAACCAAAACAAAGACUGAAAAACAAGUACUAUACGCGUAGCACAAAUAUACAACAAUGAGCGGAAAAUAUAAAUUAUUUAAAAAGAAA